GCUAAGUUUUUAAGAAAUCAUUGUCUUAAUUUCAGGUUCCCCUGAAGCAGACCCUGAGUAAAGGAUUCAAAUAUUCCACGUCUUUUAAGAGGGAACAGACCUCCAUGUGACCAGACAGAGGGGCAUCAGAAACAACUAGCCAUUCCAGCCCAAAUGUCAGACAUGGGAGUGAAGAAGCCAUGUUGGAGACAAAUCCUUCUGGCCCAGCUAUUCCAGAUCCAGUCAGUAGAGUCAUCCCAACUGAGGGCCCAGACAUCAUGGAACAGGAAACAGAUGUCCCAUUGUAUAAUUUCUGAAUUCUUGACCAGUAGAAUCCAUGAGUAUAAUAAAAUGACUAUUGUUUAAUGUCACUAUGUGUUGGGAUGGAUGAUUAUGCAACAAUAGAUAACUGGGGCACAGAGAGAAGAGAUGAGCCUCCUACAACAAUCUGGGUAAGAAAUAAUGGUGGCUGAACUAGGGUAGUUGCUGUGGAGAGGUAAGAAGUAGAUUCUGGAUAUAUUGUAGAAGUCGGAUCAUGUAUUUGCUGACUGAUUGAAUGGCAAGUAAAAGAGAAAAGUCAUGAGUGAUGCUAGGGUUUUGGGUUUUAACCACUGGAAGGGAAGAGUUACCAUUUACUGGGAUGGGAAAGACUAUAAGGGAACAGGUUUGAAGGUGGAGGGUGGAAGUCUCAGGAACUCAGUUUUGGACAUGGUAAGUUGGAGAUGCCUUUUGAUGAUCCAAGUGGAAAGUCGGUGGUUGGAAAUGACAUAGAUACACACACAUACACAAUCAUAAGACAAGAUCAGAUCAUUGUGAAAGAAAUGUAGUCAGAA